CUAAACUGGUGGGUAUUUAUCUCACUAACUCCUAGUUAACAGCUAGGCGCCUGUACAUUCGGCUUCAGUUUA
rnacentral:tRNA from 1 species